GAUGAACGCUGGCGGCGUGCCUAAUACAUGCAAGUCGAGCGAACGGACGAGAAGCUUGUUCCCCUGAUGUUAGCGGCGGACGGGCGGGUAACACGUGGAUCACAUACCUUUAAGACUGGGAUAACUUCGGGAAACCGUAGCUAAUACCGGCUAAUAUUUUGAACGGCAUGGUUCAAAAGUGAAAGACGGUCUUGCUGUCACUUAUAGAUGGUUCCGCGCUGCAUUAGCUAGUUGGUAAGGUAACGGCUUACCAAGGCAACGAUGCAUAGCCGACCUGAGAGGGUGAUCGGCCACACUGGAACUGAGACACGGUCCAGACUCCUACGGGAGGCAGCAGUAGGGAAUCUUCCGCAAUGGGCGAAAGCCUGACGGAGCAACGCCGCGUGAGUGAUGAAGGUCUUCGGAUCGUAAAACUCUGUUAUUAGGGAAGAACAUAUGUGUAAGUAUCUGUGCACAUCUUGACGGUACCUAAUCAGAAAGCCACGGCUAACUACGUG
rnacentral:rRNA from 1 species